AGUGGGGAACACUUCCGUGAGGA
rnacentral:miRNA from 1 species